UACGUAGGGCGCAAGCGUUGUCCGGAAUUAUUGGGCGUAAAGAGCUCGUAGGCGGUUUGUCGCGUCUGUCGUGAAAGCCCACAGCUUAACUGUGGGUCUGCGGUGGAUACGGGCAGACUAGAGGCAGGUAGGGGAGAACGGAAUUCCAGGUGUAGCGGUGAAAUGCGUAGAUAUCUGGAGGAACACCGGUGGCGAAGGCGGCAUCCUGGACCGGCAUUGACGCUGAGGAGCGAAAGCCAGGGGAGCAAACGGG
rnacentral:rRNA from 1 species